rnacentral:rRNA from 1 species
AUUGAACGCUGGCGGCAGGCUUAGCACAUGCAAGUCGAGCGGAGAUGAGGUGCUUGCACCUUAUCUUAGCGGCGGACGGGUGAGUAAUGCUUAGGAAUCUGCCUAUUAGUGGGGGACAACAUUCCGAAAGGAAUGCUAAUACCGCAUACGUCCUACGGGAGAAAGCAGGGGAUCUUCGGACCUUGCGCUAAUAGAUGAGCAUAAGUCGGAUUAGCUAGUUGGUGGGGUAAAGGCCUACCAAGGCGACGAUCGGUAGCGGGUCCGAGAGGAUGAUCCGCCACACUGGGACUGGGACACGGCCCAGACUCCUACGGGAGGCAGCAGUGGGGAAUAUUGGACAGUGGGGGAAACCCUGAUCCAGCCAUGCCGCGUGUGUGAAGAAGGCCUUAUGGUUGUAAAGCACUUUAAGCGAGGAGGAGGCUACUGAGACUAAUACUCUUGGAUAGUGGACGUUACUCGCAGAAUAAGCACCGGCUAACUCUGUGCCAGCAGCCGCCGUAA